rnacentral:rRNA from 1 species
CCUACGGGAGGCAGCAGUGGGGAAUAUUGCACAAUGGGGGGAACCCUGAUGCAGCGACGCCGCGUGAGUGAAGAAGUACUUCGGUACGUAAAGCUCUAUCAGCAGGGAAGAAAAAAGGACGGUACCUGAGUAAGAAGCCUCGGCUAACUACGUGCCAGCAGCCGCGGUAAUACGUAGGGGGCAAGCGUUAUCCGGAAUUACUGGGUGGAAAGGGAGCGUAGCGGGCAAUGUAAGUCCGGAGUGGAAUGCGGCGGCUCAACUGCCGAACUGCUCUGGAAACUGUAUGGCUUGAGUACAGGAGGGGUAAGCGGAAUUCCUGGUGUAGCGGUGAAAUGCGUAGAUAUCAGGAAGAACACCGGUGGCGAAGGCAGCUUACUGGGCUGUAACUGACGUUGAGGCACGAAAGCGUGGGGAGCAAACAGGAUUAGAUACCCUAGUAGUC